rnacentral:lncRNA from 1 species
AGCAGGUGCAACUGGUGCUGGCAGAGCUGUCUGACAGCAAGAAUAAACUGACCUGUGACAAAGGAAAACUUCAGAUCACAGCUGGCAUAGAAGCAACAACUCACCAGUGGCUCACAUGUAAGUUUGACAGCCUGCAGCUACAAGUUCUGAAAAACCAUGAGCCAAGAAGAGAGCAGCUCCAAAAAGGAGGUAAAAAAAGCAAGCACAUUCAUUUCAAAGUGGGAAGCAAAGAAAAACGACCUGAGUGUUAUUUUGCAGGCUGUUAUCAGUCAGGAUUUCACUUUUCUAGACCUUCUUUUGUAGUUCCUUACACACAGGGGCGGAGAGCAGACCCCUUCUUCAGAUUUAAUUUGUUUCCUCCCCUUUUACCAAAAGACAUAUUGAAGCAGCAAAGAAUAUUACAGGUAUAGCAGAGCUUCAAGGGACUGUUCUGUACUUAGAAAAGGUGUUUUGUACACACUUCAUGCUUGGUUGAUGUUCAUUAAGCAAACACUCAUCUGAAAGCUAACAGCUAAUCUAUUUUCCUCUGCAUUCAGCGCCGUGUCAGUGGACCUUCCCUUGUCCAUGCCCUCUACAGACACCCUUCUGAAAGCCAUGCUUACCUUCUUUGGGUAGGUUUGUCAGCCUUCUCCAUAAUUAGUUCUUGUACAGCCGUGUAAUUAGCUUUUUAGAGAUGUCAGUAUUAAACUGCUGAAACUUCAUCUCUUCUUCAGUAAUGACAAAGAUUCCCCAAAGAGUCAUCAGCUUCAUAAAACAACACAUCUUUUCCCAAGAGAAAAAGCAAGGAGCCUCCCCCUCAUACCUUCCUGGACACACAGGGCAAAGACCAGACCUCCAGCUCACCCCUGGAGAGGCCCACGUGAGCUGUGCAGGAAAUGAGCUCAUCUGACUGGGUGAUUCCCAGCCCUCGGAGAGCAUCACCUGCUGCCAGGAGACUCCCUGCUAGCACCCAGGUGUGGAAGAAUCUGGCACUUCACUUGGUCUGACAGUUAGAUAGGUGGGAAUUGCUGAGACCACCUGCAGAUAAAAGGUGCUCACAGGGCACCCAUCUAUAGGGAACCUAGGAAUUCUUGUUUAAACCCUAACAUCUGAUUUGAAUUAACUCAGACCUCUUACAUUGUCUUUU